rnacentral:lncRNA from 1 species
CUGGAACAUAGUAAGCACUCAAAAAAUAUUAGCUACUAGGAAUGCUGUGAGAGAGAGUCCAUUUAAACACAGGGUAGAUUUUAUUUUUUCCGUCUUUGUGGCAUAUCUUUGAACCCAUUCUGUAAACAGACAUGGAUGGGGUCAGGAGCAAUUUCUGCCUUCUCCUGGUGACACUAAAGCAGUCUGAUCCUAAAGGAGAUUUGAUGUAGGUGCUGUAGGUCCCCUCAGGAAGGAACUGCCAGUGGCAGGGUCAGAGGACAAACCAGCAGGCACUGGGGGGGUACCAAGGAGUCACGAGCCUGUCAACACAGCAUGACUGAAAUCUGCUUUGGCCGAUGAGAACCGUCAGCACCACAGACGUGAGGCGCAUGGAAGGAGAGGCUUCCCUGAGCUGCCGUCUACAAGUGGUGAGAAGCUAGCUGGCCCCUGAUUUCACGCGGAUUCUCCCUAAAGCCACCGGGGCUUCCUGAAGGCAGGGGCGCAGAGGAGGGGAAGGUGGUGUCGCCCAGCCAGCCGCCAGCCAGCCCGCUAUUCUCUCACCGGCAGCUUGAGCCCAGCUGUCCCAUCACUACUCAGCGAGAGCUGGCCGACCUCCCGCAGAGCGUGGGCGAGGCCCAGCCCAGGACAGGCACUUGAAAGGCUUCCAUCUCCGUGUGCUUUCUGUGGGCUCUGGCUCUAGAAGUUUUGACUCAUCUGCAACCUCUGCCUGUUCCCCAACCCUGCCGCCUCCCUCCCACCGCAGGAAAAGUCAGCGACAACGGUCACUGUCAUCAAUGCUAUCUGUGAAACAAAACUCAGGAACAGGACCGGGGGGGACAGAGCACCCAGGGGCUGUUACCAGCGCGUUCAUCGUCAGUAUGUACCAGAGCCUCUCUCGGUAAAUCUCCAGCAUGGGUUCCUCUCAUAGAAACGCCGCUCUGCCCACCAGCCUGCUCCCAGACUCUCCUGCUGUGAACGAGGUGACAGUCCUCACCCCAAAAACAUGGGCCAGAGAAACAGGAGAGGACUGUCUUCGUCUGCUGGCAUCUCCGGGCAGGAGGCUGAGUCAGCGCUGAGGCGAGAGCAUGUGAGUGCACAGAGCCGCCCCGUGUUCCCGGCACACACCGCCUCGGGCACCCUCAGACUGUCAAAUGAGCAAGCUGCCUCUCCGCUCCCCUGCGCCAGUCUGUUCACUGACGGAACCACUGCAGCUCGUCAACACUCCCGUCCGUGCCUCCCCCCCAGGCCCACAGCAGGAUCACCCUCCCUUGCUGACCCGAGACGACUCCCGGCUUCUGCGGGUGAAGUGCGAGUGGAAGCGACAUGCGCGGGAGCUGUAAGAGCCUCCUGUGCUGGGCUUUCUCCUUGCCCUCGGUCACCAGCACUGCUGUGUUCCAGAGCGACUGCUCCUUCAGCCGGGGCCCUGAGGUGAGCAGAGCAACCAGCCAGUCCACGUGGGACUCGAGGGAGUGAGAAGGCAGUGCUGCUGUUCAGAGCGGCGAGGCUCGGGUGGCUGGGGACUGCUGCGUGUCCCCUUGACAGCAGGGCACAUUCUUCAAUAGAAAGGAAGUAAUCUGAGUCAGAACUGUCCUUUCUCAGGGAGGUUAAGCCCCUUUGUCCUGAUCCUAACCCACAGCUCCUUUCUCCCAUUUCUACAGUCCGUUCUCUCUACCCAGAAGACUCUCCCUGCUUCUUCCCACAACUUCUCAUCCUCCAGCCCUCAGUGCCGGUGUCACCUCCUCAGACACAUCCCCUUGGCCCCUCUCCUGCCCUGUCUGGCCCAGCCCCUCAUCCGCAUCACCCAUUUCUGACUCUCACAGAGCAUGUCGCCACCAGUAAUGAUCUCAUUUAUUUCCUGCCUCGCAAGUUAUGAAUUGACAAUAUCUGUAUUCUUGCUAUCAACAACGAUUCAUAAAUAACUAGUAUCAUGAGACAUAACCCCAUAUGAACUUAAGAAAAGGGAAUACAUUCAAAAGAUGAGCUGCUUUCACUUGUUUAACAUAAUGAUAAAAAUAGAACCAUGAAUUUCAACAGCAAGUUGCACUUUACACUUUUCUAAACUAUGUUAGUAGAAGAAAGAGCUCUAACUCACAAUGCUGGACAGACGUCCAAAUAUUCGGGUGAGCAUCAGGAAUAAACCGCUGACCCCUGGUAUCCA